UUUAUUUUUGGGGGAGGGGGGGGGGGACGUCAAAUCAUCAUGCCCCUUUUGACCUGGGCUACCCACGUAAUACAAUGGGGGUAAACAAAGAGAAGCAAGACCGCGAGGGGGAGCAAAACUCAAAAACAACGUCUCAGUUCGGAAUGCAGUCUGCAACUCGCUUGCCAGAAGUCGGAAUUGCUAGUAAUCGGGGAUCAGCAUGCCCCGGUGAAUACGUUCCCGGGCCUUUUACACCCCCCCCGUCACCCCCUGGGAGCCGGGGGGCCCGAAAUCGGUAGUCUAACCUUAAGGAGGCCGCCGCCCAAGGUAAAACUGAUAACUGGGGUU
rnacentral:rRNA from 1 species